UAAAAUAGAAACACAUUCUUCUUUGUGUAGCGAACAGUGGCGGCAGCAAGAGACGAUUUUUGCUCUUGUUGUUUGCUUCUUUCGCCGCACACAAAACUUUCAGUUUAUUCAAAGUUACAGGACACGCUGUCCGGGCAGCCAGGACAUAUUCUCCAUGGCAACGAACGUCCCGUCGGUCCCGUUGUCCUCCUCGCUGCACUGUCAGCAUCAUUAUGGCUAAUAAACAUUGCCAUUUGCGGCUGGCCAACAGUCAACGGGGCGAAUCAGAGGGCAAGGGAAUGGCUCUUUCGUCACCAAGGGACUCGGACAGAAGCCGAGUCAGUAGAACUGCAAGUGGGUUAAAGUUCGCCGAAAGAUACAAAUUACCAACAGCUCAAGGGCAUUACUUAUGUAGAUCAAAUGCUGCUCCAUUUUUCUACUUUUAAGUACGUUGAUAAAGGUUUUUUCUAAACCUCAACCAAGAUGACAUAAUUUUUUGCUGGCAAAAGCUGACUGAGUUCGAGAAGCCAAAGGUAAAAAUUCGUCGGCUUGCCACAGAGCCGGUAAUCAGGGCAAAGUCCUGGCCCACUUGAUGAAUCACCUGCUAAUUUAUCACCUGGAUUUUGCGUGUCCAUUGUGCAGAUGGAUCCCCAGAGCACUCGGCUUAGUUAGUGCUUGCCUUUCAUGAAAUUUGAAUUUGAAUCUUCACCUCAGCCUUAUGCUCAUGCAUCAAAUGUGGGCAGACCUGCAAAUUGUUUGUAAAUAAACUAGAUGAAAGCCUGGGCCAAAUGCAUGGCGAAUUUUGGAGCGGUCCUCCAAAGUGGGUGAGUGAGCGCAUAAACAAAAGUAGCUUAAGACCAUUUUUGUGCAUAAACAAAUUAUGUUUCCAAAAGCAAGAGCCCAAAUAGGAGAAGUCGUGGGCCACAGCUGAUGCAGCAAUGUUAUCCAUGGAUUCCACCUUAUAAGUCCGUAAUGACUCCCCAUCAAAGCUCAUCUGCAUUUUCUCCCGUUUCGUCUCUAAACUUCUUAUAUUAAUAGCUUAAGGUGAGUGUUUCAGACUAGACAAGCAGCCUAAGCGCAUGUUGCUUGCUAGACUCGUCAGCUUCUAAUUAAUUAUGAAAAGUGCCACGCCCACAAGCCCACAAGCCCACACUACACGACAUGCACACACUUGCCAAGAGCUUUGGUUGGUUUAUGGAGCGCGAAA